rnacentral:rRNA from 1 species
CUUUUUAAUCCAUAUCCAAAUUGUGUGCAAUGUCAGUCGAUCUUCUUCAUGGAGAUCGACCAAACAUCAACCUUUAUUUUUUAACUCUUUGUCUGAAAAAUAUUAUGAAUAAACAAUUCAAAAUACAACUUUCAACAACGGAUCUCUUGGCUCUCGCAUCGAUGAAGAACGCAGCGAAAUGCGAUACGUAAUGUGAAUUGCAGAAUUCAGUGAAUCAUCGAAUCUUUGAACGCAUAUUGCGCUCUUUGGUAUUCCGAAGAGCAUGCUUGUUUGAGUAUCAGUAAACACCUCAAAGCCUUUGGAUUUUUUUAAUCGAAAAGCUUUGGACUUGAGCAAUCCCAACACCAAUCUUUUUGAGAUCGGUGGCGGGUUGCUUGAAAUGCAGGUGCAGCUGGACAUUCUCCUGAGCUAAAAGCAUAUUCAUUUAGUCCCGUCAAACGGAUUAUUACUUUUGCUGCAGCUAACAUAAAGGGAGUUUGACCGUAUUGGCUGACUGAUGCAGGAUUUCACAAGGGUCGGCAACGAUUCUUGUUAAACUCGAUCUCAAAUCAAGUAAGACUACCCGCUGAACUUAAGCAUAUCAAUAAGCGGAGGAAAAGAAACUAACAAGGAUUCCCCUAGUAACGGCGAGUGAAGCGGGAUGAGCUCAAAUUUAAAAAUCUGGC